UAUAUAAAGUUUUCGGCUGCCUUUUAGGCUAUCUUCGACAAAUUGAAGCUAAUACAUGCAAACAUGUCCUUUUCGAAGGGCGCAAUAUUAGAACUACUGGCUUGCCGGCGGUUGAUUUCAAUUAUCGUUUCGAUAUCGGAAGGCGACUUCCGAUGGCCGUAAACUGUGUACGCCCUAUCACCCAGCAGGUUAAUCAUUCGCUAACCAGGGGUAUUACGGGUAACGGAGAACUAGGGUUCGUCUCCGGAGAAGAAGCCUUUGAAAGGCUACUACAUCCAAGGAAGGCAGCAGGCGCGUAACUUAUCCACUACCACAGUGAGAUAGUAACUAGUCUUAACUAUUGACUGAUCUUUUAGGUUAGUCAUGGUCCAUGAGUUGAGCCUAAAUAGCUCUUCGAGGACCAAGUGGAGGGCAAGUCUGGUGCCAGCAGCCGCGGUAAUUCCAGCUCCACUAGCGUAAAAUAUUACUGCUGCGGUUAAAAAGCUCGUAGUUGAAUCUAGUCGUGUCCGUUGGGUUUGUCGUUGGCGUUAAUUCGUCUCUGGCGUUAAUUCACGGCCGAUUUUUGCUGGUUUGCUGUUGGUCUUCGGAUCUUCGGUGGCUAGCGAGU
rnacentral:rRNA from 1 species